rnacentral:tRNA from 1 species
UGGGUUGUGGCUCAGUGGAAGAGCGCUUGCUUAGCAAGUGUGAGGCACUGGGUUCGAUUCUCAGCACUGCAU